rnacentral:rRNA from 1 species
GGAAUAUUGGACAAUGGACGCAAGUCUGAUCCAGCGACGCCGCGUGGGUGAUGAAGGCCUUCGGGUUGUAAAGCCCUGUGGGCAGGGAAGAAAACAGUCGGAAAUCAUAAGUCCGACUCUUGACGGUACCUGCUCAGAAAGCACCGGCUAACUCCGUGCCAGCAGCCGCGGUAAGACAGAGGGUGCAAACGUUGCGCGGAAUUACUGGGCGUAAAGCGCGUGUAGGUGGAUUGGUGUGUCAGAUGUGAAAGCCCUGGGCUCAACCCAGGAACUGCACCUGAAACUACCAGUCUUGAGUGGUGGAGAGGGAAGUGGAAUUCCUGGUGUAGAGGUGAAAUUCGUAGAUAUCAGGAGGAACACCAGUGGCGAAGGCGGCUUCCUGGACACUAACUGACGCUGAGACGCGAAAGCGUGGGGAGCAAAC